rnacentral:rRNA from 1 species
UACGUAGGGUCCGAGCGUUGUCCGGAAUUAUUGGGCGUAAAGGGCUCGUAGGCGGUUUGUCGCGUCGGGAGUGAAACACGGGGCUUAACCCCGUGCCUGCUUCCGAUACGGGCAGACUAGAGGUAUGCAGGGGAGAACGGAAUUCCUGGUGUAGCGGUGAAAUGCGCAGAUAUCAGGAGGAACACCGGUGGCGAAGGCGGUUCUCUGGGCAUUACCUGACGCUGAGGAGCGAAAGUGUGGGAGCGAACAGG